UAUUUUAAAUAUGAUUUAGUUUCCUACAUGUAUACAAUGUAUCUUGAUUAUAUAACCUUUACUCCUUUCAACUCCCCUCAGAACCUCUAAUCAUUUCUUCAUACCCUCCUUCUAAAUUAGUGAUUGAUGAGGGAAGGCAGAGACCAUUGUGGGUGGUGUCAUCCCUGGGCUGGUGGUCCUGGGCUCUAUAAUAAAGCAGGUUGAGCAAGCAUGGGAGCAGGUCAGUAAGCAGCACUUCUCCUCUAGGUUCCUGCCCUGCUUGAGUUCCUUGCCCUCACUGCUUUUGAUUAUGGACUGUUAUAUGGAAUUAUUAGUGAAAUAAACUCUCUCCACCUCAGAAGAAAAAAAAAAAAGGAAGGAGAACAAACAAACAAGCAAAUGAGCCAAAUCUAUCAACCCAAUUAAAGCCUAAUAAAUAAAAGAAAGAAACAAUCAAAUGGAAAAAAACCCAAAAGAUCAGCAAAGAAACAUUUUUAUUUCUGGAUAUAGUUUUAACCUAGCUCUAUUUACCACCAAACUAAUUAUCAUUCAUUCAUGCAUGCAUUUAAUUAAUCCGUGCAAGGGUUUACUAUAUAUUCCCAUGAGCCAAGAUCUGCAUAGUAUGCUUGAGAUAAAUUAUCUCUACCCUGAAAGCUCAUAGAUGAAGAGAAACUCUUGAAUUCAGUAAUUGAAGCUCUUGGUGCAUAUGGCAGCCCCAUGGAGGGAUGCUAGGGAUGCUAGCCAGCCUGCAGGCAUCCAUGAGGGCCUCCUGUGAAAGGUGUCAUCUUAGUGGGUCCUGAAUGAAGGGACUCUAGCCAGCCCCGGCAUCACAAACAUGGCUUUUCCUUGCUAAAACCCAUUAGAUUGCAUUCCUAGAGCUAACCAAGGUCUAUUUGCUUAUUUGGCCACUUCAUCUUCAUAGGGUUCACAACUAAAGGUCCAGCUAUAAAAAUAUUGAAAUCCAGCAUUCAAAAGCUCCACUUUUGCCUACCCUAAUUAGCCUGUACAAUCAAAAUUAAAUACCUCAUCCUAACAUGGGGUUUCUUGUUUUAUGUUUAUAAACUGUCAUUUGCCUAUGAGCCACAUCUGUCUCCUCUCUCCAGAGGCAGUCCUUUAACCAUGUGGGACAAAUAUCCCUUCCUACUUUCUUUUAUUCACUUCCCCUUUGCCCCUGCCUUUGUCUCUUAUUCUCCAUCCUUUACCUCCCUGGGGCAAAUAAAUCUCCUUUGUGCCAAGAACUUGGUUGUGGGGUGUCUGGUGUAGAAUACUGGUUCCUUCACUGGACCAUAGUUAAGAGUUUCCCUUCAGAAAUUGUUUUUGCACAAUAACCCUGAGCCAAGAGCAGAGGACCUAUGACUAAGUAGAUAUUGGAUCAAAGACACUGAGAGUCAUGAGUAAAAAAGGAGAAUUAAUUCAAACAGUAAAACUUAAGGGAAAAUUCAGAUCAGUGAUGGCUCUGGCUUCAAAUUACUAAGGGUGAGAGAAACUGAAUGACUUGCCUAUGAUUGCUCAGAUCCAGCAUUUCAUAGGGUCUUCCGUCUUCAAUAAGAGAAUACAUGGAAGUGCUUGCUUAGGUCUGGCUUAGUUUGAGGCUAAUUAAUGCCAAUUUAUCAUAAAGUGUUAUUAUUAUCAGUGAGAUUAUUUUAUGAUUAUUCCCUUGAAUUGCCUGAAUAUUCUGUCCCUGAUUUUUGCUUCUACAGGGAAAUAUGCUCACAUAUACAUCCUUGUGUCCAUAUGCUCACAUACAAGCACAUGCACACACACACACACACACACACACACACACACACAGACACAGACACACACAGACACACACAGACACACACGCGUGCACGAGGGUCGUAAGAACCAAAUGAGAAGGAAUGUGAGCACAGAGUUCAUGCUGUGGCUCCAAGAAGGGAUUGGACAUGAGGCUGGGACUUUCCUCAGGUGAAAAGUUGAAACUGAGCCUCCUACAAAAACCUGAACCUUUCAAGCGGUAUGUGCAAAAGAUAGAAAGCAAAGCAUCAUAUAGAAAAGAUAAGACGGUGGCCUUAAGUUGGCACAAUUUAAACUUGACUUUGGACCCUCUUAGAUUCUGAUAUGACUUGAUGACUCAGCUUAGUGGAACCCUCAACAGUGUUUGCUUGCUUUGAAGCAGCCAGUGUGCUCGGUAGGUUUUGCUUUUCCUUUGAGACAAGCUCUCAAGUAGCCCAGGCCGGUCUCAAAGUCGUUAUGUAGAUAAGUGUGACAUUGAACUUCUGAUCCUCCUGCCUCUAUCUCCCCAAUGUAGACAUUUCAGGUGUGUUACCACCACACCUCGUUUUAUGUGAUGUUGAGGAUCAAACGAUCAAACCUAGGGUUUCAUGUAUGCUAAGCAAACAACCAACUGGGCUGUAUCUCUAGCCCCUGAUCAAUAGAUUUUUAAAACAAAAACUGCAUUGUUACGGAUAAUGUAGUUAAGAUAGUUUCAUUAGGGCAAAAUAAGCAGCUCACCACUUUCAUGUACUUCAUAAUAACGUCAAACAUUUAAAGGUUACUGAAGGCUUGAAUAGACCAAUUAACCAGAUAAAUCUAUUUGACAUGUUGAGAACAAGUGAUCACAUCGUGAAGUGAAGAGACUUUGUAAAAUAUAAAGCCUACAUUGUCUAACCACACUGCAGUAAAUUAUGAACCUAAAAAAAAAAAACCCACUUGAAAUUACUUUAUCUUAAAAAGCUUAAAAAGGGAGCUAGAUGUGGUGGUGCACGCCUUUAGUCCCAGCACUUGGGAAGCAGAGUCAGGUAGAUCUCUGUGAGUUUGAGGCCAGCCUGAUCUAUGAAGAGUCUAUGUAUUUUAUGAAUACAAUGGCCAAGUUAAACUUCAAUAGUGUUGUGUUUUAUAAAAAGAUAAAGAGAAGAACAUGUUUGAUGGAUGUGUAGUCAGGUGUGGGGUUGGUGGAUGUGUAGUCAGGUGUGGGGAAGGGGGUACUUCUGCAGGCCCAUGCUGAGGCAUCCCUUCCCCCAGAGGGACCAGCCACACAAUGGUAUAGUAUAGAAUUGAGUUUAUUCAGGGCAGAUCCAAUGCCCUCUUCUAGCUUCUAUCAGUAUCCACACUAAGUCACUCAUGCACACUAUCCUCAUUUACACUUAAUUUAAAAUGUAAAUAAAUCUUAAAAAAUUAAAAUGAGCCCCUGAACAAGGAUAGCAAUCAUUGUGAAGAAAAGGAAGAUGUGUAUAAAAGGAGUCAGCCUUAGCUUUCCUGAGCACAAAGUAAGCAUGGCUAUGCAUAAUUGCUAUGUAAAAGGUAUAUGACACCCUUUAUACUUAUACUAAAUUAUUAACAUAAUAGAGCUAUUUGCAAGUUUUUACCUUUCACAAAGAAUAUCUUCUAGGGAUGCAUCAACUAAAAAAAGAGGAUAUUAUUUUAUGAGAGCAAAAAAGGUAAGUUUUUUAUUUCUGAAGGAUGUAUUUUAUUACAUUUAAUUAUGUGUAAGUGUGUGCGUGUGCACAUGAUUCCAAGUACCUGUGGAGGCCAGAAGAAAACAUUACAUUUCCUGGAACUGGAGUCAUGGGUGCUGUGGUAUAGGUGCUAGGAACCGAGCUUGGGUCCUUUGGAAAAGCAAGUAUGUUCCUUUAAGUACUGAGCCAUCUCUCUAUCCCGUACAUAUUUCAUUCUUAGGCCAACUUCAUAAUUACUGCAUGUGAACAUGUCUUCCGUGAGAACAAGCCACCUUUUGCAUGACCUUUGUAGCUUGUGGUCUUUACCUGGUGGUGUUAACAUAAGGCAAAUUUUAGUGAAUUGUUUUAAUUUCUCAAGACUGAAGCCAUCAAUGUCUCAUGGGAAUGUGAUCAUCAGGUCUAAUGUUGCCUUAUUGCUGGUGACUAAUUCGGUUACCACGAAAACCUGGAACUUUCUCAAUAUUCUUCUAGUCAUUUUACUUUUUCAUGUUUGUAUCUUGCAGACUAUGCCCACAUCUUGGAAUCAGAAUAUAAAGCUAUGAAGGUCAUAGGUAGUCAUCAUCCGGCAUGUAAAGAUCAACUGAUUCUGGGUUAAUAAUGAUCACAGAUCACCUUUAAAAAACACCAUUGCUCAGAAUGAUGUUAUUUCUGGUGCUUUUGUUGAGUCCCUACUGUUUUAAAAGGUGAUUGCUCUCGGCUUACAGACUUCUGCAUUACUACUAAGCUAUUAACACACAAUUCCAGGCAGCAAGAAAGAGCUGAUUUUUCUCCAGUUCAGAGCAGAGUUCAGAAGGUCAGAUGUGACCACAGUAUCUCCUGUUAUUUUAGGGCUCACAUGGGUUUGCCUUGGCUUCCUCUCCUUGGCAUUUGGUUUCUGUUAUUUUUUCAUUGGGUUUGGUUUAUAGGAAUAAAAAAAAACCCACAAUUUUUUUAAAAAGUGAAGUUUGUAAAGAUGCAGUUUCUGAACUGCUGGUGAAUGGACAUGCAGGCAAUGCAGACCUUCCGGGUUACAUUUAGUGGCACCACACCAUCCCCAUGUGAAUGUGAUGGUUAAGGCAGAAGAUUGACUAGAAACCUGUUCCUGGCUCCCCAAACAAAAUCAGCUCCCAGUCUAUGUACCUAUUUGUGGGGGUGAUGAAAUGUUUUUCUUCUCGCCCUCAGAUUGUUUUCUACUAGAGGCUUUUAUUAUUGACUCUUCUGUGGAAGCGCCAUAUUUGGGCUGCUGAUCUGAGCUCGCUGCAGAAUGUGUGUUUAGGAAAUAAGCUUUUGGUAUCUGUAGACUAUGACUACAAUCACUACUAUGGGUUUAAACUGAAAGAAGAGACCAUGGGCCUAUUAAUGUAACGUGGUAGAAGAGAUGGUGAACUAGGGUGGGAAGGAAGCUGUGGUCCCAAGCUUCUCUACAUGUGGACUCAGCUGAUGAUUGCCAGAAACCCCCAAGGGCUGUUGCUCCUCUUCAAGAAGUCAUGACUUACUUGUCCUAGGAAGUCACCCUGACUUUGGAAGUUCUAAGAGAGCCUCAGGAGAUCUGGGACCCACUGAUGUGAUUGUCAAGGACACAAAGUGAUGUUUACUUCUUCAAGGCUUUAACAGAUAUGUGACUUUCACUAAGUCUGACCUAGAAAGUCUGGGUGCUUUGGUUUGAGUAUGGUCUGUUCCAUACAGACUUAUGUUUUGAAUCUAGUUGGUGCUGAUGGCUUGGAUAGUGGUAUUAUGUUUAGGAGUUGAACCUCAUUGUAGAACCUGUGUCACUGGCGUGGGACUUGAGGUUUAUAGAUCAACCUCACUUGAUGUUUGUGGUCUCCUUCCUGACUGCAGAUCAGUGUGAGCAGCAAUCUCAUGCUCCUGUUGACAUGACUUCUCUGCCAUAAUGGACUGCCAAGUGAAAGCCUUUUUCCUAGUAUCUCUUCCACCUGACCCGCCUGUACUCUGUUGUAUCAACAAGAAAAGAAACUACUAUGUCGGUCCUUUCUUUUCUCAUCUUUCCUUUGGGGACAACUUUUCUCCCUUACACAGAUGUCAUAGAGAAGGAGAGACCUGAUGCGUGUUGUCAGACGCCAGCCCGAGGACAUGUUGGUUUCAGUUGGCUGAGGAAAGAGCAUCAUUUGACGUGUGUUUUCCUUUUCUGGGAAAUGCAGAGGAAUUUCUUCUUCCUGGAAGCAAUGCUAAACUACUGCAGAGUUCCAGGCCUGGGAUGAGAACAAGAUUGUGACCACAUCUGCAUUCAGAAAAAAAUCUUUCUGGCUAUUCCAUGGGGACUGGAAUGGUAGCCUCUUCUUCAAAUGCCAAGAUGCCUGGUUUGAUCCGGAUUCUCUUUCUGCUCCGAUCUCCUUUCCUGCUUCCUUCUCAGUGCUCCGCAUACAUCUGUGCAGCAGCUGCAGAGCUGGGGUUCUCAAGACACUGGCUAAUUUGUAGCAUUAUGGGGACAGUGCUUGGCAGUGGACUGCUCCCAUUAGUGCUGCUCAUGUUCACGUUGUAAGCUUGAUGCCUUCCACAUGCUCCUGUUUUAUUUCAAUCCCCCUGUGGCUAGCCAGUAAUUAACUCAGUGGAGGAAUUUGGUCCAACCUAGUGUCUUUCACUGCAAAAAUUUUUUUAGAAAAAUCUGGCCUGGGCAUGUGAACCAAUGGAAAACAGGCUUCAAACUCACAAGGGACUUUGUUCACUUGCCUGUGUUUUUUCUAGAAUUUCUUCCGUCUUUCACAGAGUCAUGGAGUCAGAAAGGGCUUACAGAGAUUGGAAUCACUCCUGUCUUCAGUUACAGUUGCUGUGCCUCUGCCUGAAUCCUUCAAGGGCUGAGAACAGACUCUCCUGGUAUUCUAAGAUCUGUUCUUUGUCUCCAUUGCUACUCGCUGGCUCAGGCUGCCAUGUUCUCCCGUGUAGACUGAUACAAGUCUCCUUCCUGAUCUUUGUCAAGCAUUUUUUAAUCCUUUCUCCACAGUGUAGUGGAAGUGAAUUUUGUUUGUUUUGUUUCUUUUGUUUUUGUCUUUGUUUUGUUUUUGUUUUGUUUUUGUUUGAAAUAAGUUCUGAGCUUACUAUAGCCCAGGCUGCCCUUGAAGUCAGUGGGAGGCCAAUCAGUCUCCCAAGAGCUGAGAAUACAGACUUUCUUCACCUAUUUAAAGUUCCUUCAACACCUCCCUAUUUUCUUUGGAUUAGCUGCGCUUUCUUUACUGCAAGGCUCAAGGUUUACUCUAACCUUCAAUCCUCCUUGUCCACUGUGCACCAACCACAUUUGUAUUCUCUAGGUUUUCAGACAAACAUCUUUAUUUAUUGUUUGUGUGCUUAUUUUUGUCUUAGACUUAUGGCCUGAGCUGUUGUUACUAUUUAGACAACCUGGUCUCUCUAACUCUUUAUCUUUCUGUUGAAGCAUCACUUACACCGAAAAAAUUUCCUUUCUGUUUGGGUACAGUGCUCUGUCUGUCUUGCUAAUCUUUAUUUCAGUUCUUUAAUGGCUUACGUAUUUUAUAGCACAGAGUUCCCCAACAUUUGCCACCUGAAAUGGCAUCUCACUUGAGUCCCCUCCACAGUUCUCUUAGCUGCUCACACUCAUCUUGUUUUUUAUAAUUUUUCAUAGUGGUUACGAACCCAUCUCCUAAGCCACUUACAGAUCCAAUAAAUAUGCAAAGCUAAGGUUGCCCGCAGUUCACAAGCAAAUAUGGUAGAUGGCCCUUGAGAGAAUUUUGUCUUCAAUCACUGAGAAUUGAGUGAAUCCAUGGAAAAAAUUUUUUACAGAGAAUCUCUCAUUAAAAUGACAGCAAAGAGUUGAAUGUACCAGCCAGUAAAGGAAGAUUUUUGGAGCUGUAUAGAGUCUAUUUUCAAUGGGAGAUCCUGACUAUUUCAUAUAGUCAAGUGUUUGGGGGAAGCAAGUUUGCAAUUGUAAUACAUGAUGGUAGAGGGUCAUUUAUAUGGUGGUCAUGAAGACUAAAUAGAAGCACAGACUCAGGAUUCUGCAAUGAUAUUAUAUUACAAUUAGAAAACUACACUGUCAUUUUCUUCCCUAUUUUAAUAUACACCAUUUUUGUACUUAUAAUAAAAAUACACAUUUAUAAGUAUACUUACAUUUCUCUGGCAAAAUUAAAUUCCUUCUAUUAAGGAAGCUUGCCUUUUCACAGGAAGAGAAUUCAAGUUUUGUUUGGUAGGUGACAAGAGGUACACAGUCCUCUUGAUUGGAAUCAAAUCGCUCUUGUGUGUGUGUGUGUGUGUGUGUGUGUGUGUGUGUGUAUGUGUGAUACUAGAAAUUGGACUCAGGAUCUUGUGUGUGUUAGACAAGCUAUGUACCACUGAGUUAAACCUCAAUCCUACCGUGAACUUAGAGCUAUAUUUGAAUCUGAUUUUGUAUUUGUGAUUUGUUUCUUUUUAAUAAUGCCAGUUCCCCUUUUAUUGAAGAUAGAUUCUUUUCUCAGUUCCUCCCCAGACCCCACCCUUUCCAGAUCUACCCCUUUUCUGUCUCUCAUUAGAAAAAAAAAUAGUCUUCUAAGAGAUAGCAACCAAACACAACAAAAAUAACAUAUAAUAAGAUGAAACAAAAACUAUCAUAUAGAAGUUGGACCUGGCCACCCAACAGGAGGAAAAGAUUAAUGAUAAUACUUCUCAGUGAAACUUAUUCUCAGGAAAAAGUUUGAAAUUGGUAAACUUGUUUUUUUUUCUAGAUUUCUUUUCUGUCUUUGCCAUUUCUCCAUCCUUGGGUAUCCUUAUAUCAGUGUUCUCUCGACAGCUUCUAACUUUACCUUUUAAUCUCUCCUGUCUUACAGUAACAUUUCCCUAUCAUGAUUUCUCUUUCCUCAUACUCUUCAGUAAUAUUGAGAACAAUAAGCCUCAUAAAAUAUAAAAAAGGAAGACAGCAAUCCUUGCUCUGUCAUCUAAGAAAGUCUCUUCUACUUAACAGGAGACAAAACAGAAUUCUGCUUAGUCUGAGCCAUUUCUGUGGAAUGCCUUCUUCCCUCUUCCUGUGGUUUUCAUUGGAAGCUAACAAUGGGUUUGAAACUGCAGUGAAAAGGGACUUGCUGUAGCCUUUAACUCACUGUUGUCGAGCUUCAGAAGACUCCCCCCCCCACCCCCUUAGGAAGACCAGGAAGAAGGGACUGAUUACCACUAACAGUCCCUUAUUCCAGUCUUAAAUGCAUCCCUUCUAGUCAGGGUCCCAUGUGGAGAAGAACUUAGCAUUCUCCCCCUGGUUCUUUAUUCAGUUAUUUAUCAUGGUCCUCACUUCCCUCUCCUAGGCAGUUCUCCAAUUCCCAAUGAUAUUUAUUAGGGACAGGCCACCCAGCGAGUCACUGUGUCUCAUAUGAAUUCUUAUUACACUUUAUUGUCUUUUCUACUUGACUCUUUGCAGCCUUGUAUUUUUCUUUACUGCUUCUUGUAAAGAUAGCCAGCCUUGUAUCUAGUCAGAAUACCAAGAGCCAAAUUCCAGGACAAUUCGGCUUAAUUAGAAUGUUUGAGGACUUUAGGACUAUGGAACUUGAUUGUAAAUGUAUGCUCAAAAUUGGUCUGACUUCUUAAUACUAUGUCUAAGAUAACUCAUUCUCUUCUUUAUGUCUCUAUAAACACAGAAGGAUCUCAUGAAUAUUUCUUUACUUUUAAAGAAUCAUAAAUUCAGAAUUCUGAACAAAUUUCCUAUUCAUAAUACUUGGAGAGCUGAAGCUAGCAUAUGAGACACAACAUGUUAUCCCAAGCUUUAUCCCUAAGACCCGACUUUUAGUCAGUGACCCAAACUUAGGUAUCUAAGUCAGAGAAGUGAUGAUAAAACAUGAUUUCAGGAAAGCCAAAGGCGUCAUGGCAGGACCUCAUGUGAUUGCAAGGAGGCAGGGAUCCGAGUUAAGGAAGACAAACAAGGAUGAGCUUCCAUGCAGAAAAAUAAUUCAUUUGUAGCCUUUCAUCAAGAGAGACGGGUACUUUGUGAUGCUGGGUCUCAGAUUCUCACUGGAAUAGGAACUCAGCAUGCGACGUUCUUCAGAUCCUCAGGAUUUACUGGUACAUAUUCUUUUUACCUCCUGCAUGCAUGGGUCUCAGAAACUAUUGAAAAUGUAGAAGGUGAAGAUUGGUGACUGAAAAUAUUAGGGAACAUAUUUGAAUUCUAACUUUAUCCAUAAUUU